GAUGCAGCCAUGCCGCGUGUGUGAAGAAGGCCUUCGGGUUGUAAAGCACUUUCAGUUGUGAGGAAAAGUUAGUAGUUAAUACCUGCUAGCCGUGACGUUAACAACAGAAGAAGCACCGGCUAACUCCGUGCCAGCAGCCGCGGUAAUACGGAGGGUGCGAGCGUUAAUCGGAAUUACUGGGCGUAAAGCGCACGCAGGCGGUUUGUUAAGCUAGAUGUGAAAGCCCCGGGCUCAACCUGGGAUGGUCAUUUAGAACUGGCAGACUAGAGUCUUGGAGAGGGGAGUGGAAUUCCAGGUGUAGCGGUGAAAUGCGUAGAUAUCUGGAGGAACAUCAGUGGCGAAGGCGACUCCCUGGCCAAAGACUGACGCUCAUGUGCGAAAGUGUGGGUAGCGAACAGGGUUAGAUACCCUGGUAGUCCACACCGUAAACGCUGUCUACUAGCUGUUUGUGACUUUAAGCCGUGAGUAGCGAAGCUAACGCGAUAAGUAGACCGCCUGGGGAGUACGGCCGCAAGGUUAAAACUCAAAUGAAUUGACGGGGGCCCGCACAAGCGGUGGAGCAUGUGGUUUAAUUCGAUGCAACGCGAAGAACCUUACCUACACUUGACAUGCAGAGAACUUUCCAGAGAUGGAUUGGUGCCUUCGGGAACUCUGACACAGGUGCUGCAUGGCUGUCGUCAGCUCGUGUCGUGGGAUGUUGGGUUAAGUCCCGCAACGAGCGCAACCCUUGUCCUUAGUU
rnacentral:rRNA from 1 species